UCCCUUUAUUUUUUUGAGCAGUGUAUCUUGCACGUGUUUUUGUCUUUUUGUGUUUAGAGUUUUGAAAGAAUGAGCCACUUUCAUUUUUUGUAAAGAAAACCCUUUAUCUCACUGAAUGUUUUUUUCCUGGUUUUCUCCUGUUGGGUAUAGAAAGUGUUACAUACAAAACACAAGUGUUCAAAAUACUGCAUUUUUGGAAAUAAAUGACAAUGUUACAGUAUUGCGUGUGUUUAUGUAUAUAUGAGUAGGUAUACAUUACUGUAACAAUCUUUUACAACCAGCUACAGUGUAACACUGAAAAGGAAUAAACCUACUGAUGGUAUAUUCAUAGUAGUGUUGAGCACAUCAGUGUGUUGUUGGUUCGUAGACAGAUCUAUUCAUAUGACGUGUGUGUCAUUUUGAUGCCAAAAAAAACAUUUUGUAAAGAAAAGUUUUGAAUGCAGUGUUUGCGUUUGCUAGAGAUUGGUAGAGUUUAGCAUUUUGUGUAUGUGGUUUUGUCUUCCGUUUGGGGGAAAUGGGCCAAAGAUUUAGCAAACUUGUGGAAAACUAACUGUGAGUGUAAAUCAUUGCAGAUCACAUAACAUUCCAUAAUAUCAACCGUGUCAUUAUGUCAACAGUGCUGCAUCUUGCGUCAACACCAACUUACAAUGACGCCGCUGUACAGGGUUCCAUUUGAGAGGAACACAGUUAGUCAAAGACCUUCACUAUGACUAUGUGCAAAGUCCUGGACUUUGAUGCAGCUGCACAGCCUCAUGAGUUCAUGUUCAUUGAUGAAGCUGGAUUCUAUCUAAAACCAGGCGUCAGGGCCGACAUGUUAUAGGACAAGGAGCCGUUGCGAAUGUCCCUGGGCAGCGCGGGGGAAAUAUCACAUUGUGUGCCACCAUUAGUCUGCAAGGAGUUCUCCAUCACCAUGCCACCCUCGGUCCCUACAAUACUGCACACAUAAUCAUAUUUCUGGAUGCACACUAUAAUGCAGCUGUGCAGGACGGACCAGAGCAGCCCAGGUUUGUUGUCAUCUGGGAUAAUGUUAGUUUCCACCAGGCUGCUCUGGUCAGGGAUAAUAACUUCACAGUUGUAUACUUGCCCCCUUACUCCCCAUUUCUCAUUGAGGAAUUAUUUUCGGCUUUGGCGUUGGAAAGUGUAUGACCGCCAACAACAUGCAAGCAAUGGAAGAGGCAUUUGGAGACAUUGAGGUGGGGUCAGUGCAUGGUUGGAUAGGCGAUUAUUUUCCCCGUUGCCUAGCCAGGGAUGACAUUGCUUGUGAUGUGGAUGAGGUGAUGUGGCCAGACCCUAACAGAAGGUGGGAUCCUGAAACCAUCUACUCCAUCCCUUACAAUCCUUUACAAUACUAUUUUUUGUUUACCAUUGCACUGUAAUUUUACUGUCAUUUUUGUUUGUGUUUACAGUAACAUAUUGUAUUAAUUACUGUAAUUCUACGUUGUGUUUUUUUGUUGUAAAAACCUGCAAUGGCAAAAAAUAGGUUGUACAUAUUUUUUCUGAAGCCUUUAUAUUUUUGUGUUCAUUGAAAUGUGUACUGUACUGGAACAAUCUGUCACAGAAGCCUGUAUGAGAAAAUAAAAAGGUACACAAAGUACUAAAGACA